GAGAGAGUGUGGAUUUAGAGGAGUCUUCGGGAAGCUGGGGCAGCUCAAGGAUUGCGUACGCGAAAAGCUCUACACAGGACAACUCAGAAGAGACAUUUGGUGCCAUCGUAAUUCACUGUGGAAAUACUGCUGCCGCCGACGCAGCCGUGCCCUGCCCGCAGACGCCUUGCUUGUACCUGGUAAGGACAGCUCACCCAGUGGGACCAAAGAGAGAUCCCCUUCUACCAGCUUCCAGGACAGGCUUCGUAACCUCUCCCCACCUCUCGAGUUUAAUGCCCUGCUAUCACCGCCUUGAAAGCCUUAAUAAUUUUUGGAACAAAAGAUCGGCAUUUUCAAUGUCCCACACAUUGCAUAACCGUGACCAUCUCUCAUGGGUGAGGAAACGGAACUGCUGAAGCUUUGAACCUGUGUGUCUGGCCACAGACUUGCUGACCCUGGCUGUAGCCGCUACAGUUUCCUUAACUAAAUUGUCCGGGAGUGGGGAGACAGAUGGAUGCUUUUCCCACCUUCUCCACUUUCACCAUUCUGACUCCCUGAUCACUGCCUGGUCUCUCAAGACUUGGGGUUCAGUUUGGUUAAUUUAACAGAAGUCACCGGUAAAUCAGCUUUGGAAAAACGCGAGAGAGGGUGCCUCCUCUUCCCAGGCCAGAGAUGGGUCUCCCCCUAGUGUCUCCUAGGGGAAUCUUUGCUUUUGCUUUUUGUUUUCCCCUUGGAGGUGAUUUUUAGGUAAUUCCUAAAAUUUCAAGAGUUUAGCAGCCAGGGAAUUCCCAGCCAGCUUUUUGGCCCAUGGCUUCUCCCCGGCAGGGCUGGCGGUCAUAGCGUCCUUUGGUCCCUGGGUCACACCAGAGGCCAGUGCUCCUCACCUGGUGAGGUGGCUUCUGGGUGCAUGGGAAGAAUGACCCACAGGAGCCCACACCACAGUGCUGGGAAGCAGGAGUUGCCAUGGGGUUGAAUGAGCCAGGGUCACCUCGUCUGCUCCCCUCCUCCACCUUGCCUUGCAACUGCCUGAACCCUGCUUUCUCUGCAUCAGUGAUUUUCAAAUGUUGCCGUGCCUCACAAUUACCUGGAGGGCUUGUUAAAUCACUAAUUACUGGGCUCCAACCCCAGAGUUUCUGAGCCAGUUUAUCUGGGGCUGGGGAUUUUGCUUUUAUGACAAGUUCCCAGACAGUGUUGAUAUGCUGGUCCAAGGACCCUACUUCUUUAGAUGGAAGGUGGUGAUAAGAGAAGGGGGCUUCUCUGCCUUGGCCCCGCCCCCCCAAGCAGGUGAAGUUCAGUAGGACAUGACUGAGAAAAACCCAAUAGAGAGCUAUUGCGCAAUACUUUCUGCUGCGUGUUAACAAAAGAAAGCGCAGUUUGCCUUUGUGAUAUCUUAUUCUCAUCACUCCCACUUUUUCUGCAAGCACUUCUCUCGGGGUUGUUGCAGAAACCUGUAUUGCAUAUAAACAUUUGCUUGUAUCCACCCUCUGUUAUCCAUCCAUCUCUUCACAGGCUUGAGACCUGUUCCGAGAUUGCUCCCUCCAGCUUUGGGAGGGCAGUGGGCUGGGUAAGCUCCAGGGUGUGGACCAAGCCUGAGCUCUGGUGACAGCUUGGUGUGGCAAGAAGAAGGGACCUGGCAAAGAGCGUCUCACUGGAAGGCUAAGUUUGAAAUGCCAUUUGUGAAACAAUUGCCAAUAGUCACCAUCUCUAUCCCCUUCCCCCCAAGCAUGAAUUUGGGAAGCUCAGCCUGGAUUCCCAGGAUGGAGAGGCUCAUGGGAUGAGUGUCUCCUCUAGCCCUGGGAAACUGAUGACCCUCUGGAGCAGCUGGGCAUAAGCCCCUUUCCCAGUUCCUGAGCUGUCCAGAAAAAAAUGCUCAGGUUUUUCACGUUGUGGCGGAGUGGAAACGAAUCUGACUGGGGACCAUGGGGUUGUGGGUUCGAUCCCUGACCUAGCUCAGUGGGUUGAGGAUCCAGCAUUGCCAUGAGCUGUGAUGUAGAUCACAAAUGCGGCUCAGAUCUGGCAUUGCUGUGGCUCUGGCCUAGGCUGGCGGCAACAGCUCCCAUUGGGCCCCUAGCCAGGGAACCUCCAUAUGCCGCGGGUGCAGCCCUUAAUAAAAGAGCCAAAAAGAAAAAAAAAAAUGCUCAGGUUUUGUUUUCCCUCUUUAGCUCCAAUUUGGAGGAGUGCUGGGGCUUCUCUUAGCCCUGAAGCAGGGAAGAGAUCGGGCAGGGCCAGAGCCCUCCAUUUGGCUUCUGGGAUGGGAAUAGAGAUGAAAACGGAGAUAACAUAACUUCAUGUAACCCAUCCAAAAAGUUCAUCAAGUUUAUCUUAAGGCUCAUCUCCCUGAGCUAAGAAAUGGAGGUCAAGGGAGUUAGCUGACUUUCCAAACCCCAGUAGGAGGUUCUCUGCCUGGGUCUUGCCUCUUCUGAUGCCGGAUUGGCCAGCCCAGUCCCCUUCUUCCCUGUAAGAGCAUCUUCUCCAAUCACUCACACACACACACACACACACACACACACACACACACACACACACACACACACACACACAUGCAGUUCAUUCCUCCUUUCCCAGGGAAGAAGUACUAAAUAAACUCUAAUCUCGUGGUAGGGUCAAG
rnacentral:lncRNA from 1 species